AUUGAACGCUGGCGGCAUGCUUUACACAUGCAAGUCGAACGGUAACAGGUUAAGCUGACGAGUGGCGAACGGGUGAGUAAUGCAUCGGAACGUGCCCGGUCGUGGGGGAUAACGCAGCGAAAGCUGUGCUAAUACCGCAUACGAUCUGAGGAUGAAAGCGGGGGACCGUAAGGCCUCGCGCGAUCGGAGCGGCCGAUGUCAGAUUAGGUAGUUGGUGGGGUAAGGCUCACCAAGCCAACGAUCUGUAGCUGGUCUGAGAGGACGACCAGCCACACUGGGACUGAGACACGGCCCAGACUCCUACGGGAGGCAGCAGUGGGGAAUUUUGGACAAUGGGCGAAAGCCUGAUCCAGCAAUGCCGCGUGCAGGAAGAAGGCCUUCGGGUUGUAAACUGCUUUUGUACGGAGCGAAAAGGUCUCCUCUAAUACAGGGGGCUCAUGACGGUACCGUAAGAAUAAGCACCGGCUAACUACGUGCCAGCAGCCGCCGUAA
rnacentral:rRNA from 1 species